GUGCUCGCUAAAGGCAGCACAUACACUAAAAUUGGAAUGAUACAGAGAAGAUUAGCGUGGCCCCUGCGCGAGGAUGACACGCAAAUUCGUGUACUUGGUUCUA
rnacentral:snRNA from 1 species